GACAGAGGGUGCAACCGUUGUUCGGAUUUACUGGGCGUAAAGCGCGUGUAGGCGGCCUUGCAAGUCGGAUGUGAAAGCCCCGGGCUCAACCCGGGAAGUGCGUUGGAAACUGCGAAACUAGAGUCUCGGAGAGGAAGGUGGAAUUCCAGGUGUAGCGGUGAAAUGCGUAGAUAUCUGGAAGAACACCGGUGGCGAAGGCGGCCUUCUGGACGAUGACUGACGCUGAGACGCGAAAGCGUGGGGAGCAAACAGG
rnacentral:rRNA from 1 species